rnacentral:lncRNA from 1 species
AGUAGGCACAUCUUUCAUUCAGGUUAUGAGGUCAUUGUGAGCUAGACCACCUGAGCUUUUCCACCAAAUAAUGAUGCCAUAGAAACCAGGGAUGAAAAACCUCCAGCCAAUCUAAUUUCAUUCAUUAACAAAAAUAAGGAACAUCUCACUUAUUACCUAAUUCCAGGUUCUGCAGGACACAGGUGGUAUUAG